rnacentral:lncRNA from 13 species
AUCGAGGAACAAUUAAUUUUAGAAGUUCAUGCACGCGAAGCUUUGUGGAAUUCACAAAUUGAUUUAUCUUGUCGCAUCAGAAAAGCGGUUGCACAAUUAUGGAAAGAAGUUUCCGAAGCCUUAAAUGGCAAACUGUCAGAUAUCGAGGCUAAAACCAAGUUCAAAUCACUGCAUGAUACAUACAGAAGAAUUAUUAGUAGUGAAUCAUUAGCGAGUGGAUCCGAAAGACCCGCUAAGAAAAGCAAGUGGCAACAUUACGAUAAUUUAUCAUUUUUGCGUGAUUCUUGUUUGCAAAAAACAACCAAAUCAAAUGUGUCAAUAAACACGGAAGAUUCAACAGAUACUAAUUUUGAAGAUGCAGAAGAAUCAAUUGACAUUACUAUUGAAGAUUGGGAACAAAAUAGAUAGCAAAAACGCAAUAGGAAAGGCAAGAAUAAAAAGGGAGACAAUUCUACAGCAAUUAAUAGAAUUGCUGAUGCUUUUUGCCAAAGAAAUAUGCAGCCACCGAUUACUUUGCCUGCUCCUCCACAAGACGAUGAUGUGGACGCAAUUGUGUCUGUAGUUGAGAGACGAUUAAGGAAACUUCCACAAGUGUUAGAUGAUGCAGCACAAAGAAUUUUUCAGUUUACUUACGAUCUCGUAAAAGAUUUAUCAAAUACUUAGUAAUUAUUACUUAAAGUUUUUGUUUUGAAAAGUUUAAAGCACAAAGUUUUAUUUAAUGUUUGUUUUUAAAUGCUUUAAUUAUG